GAGUUUGAUCCUGGCUCAGGAUGAACGCUGGCGGCGUGCCUAAUACAUGCAAGUCGAACGGACGGUAGCAAUACCGUUAGUGGCGAACGGGUGAGUAACGCGUUGGUGACCUGCCCCAAAGAGCGGGAUAACAGAUCGAAAGGUCUGCUAAUACCGCAUGUGCAACUGGGAGACUAGAAACCUGGUUGGAAAGGGAGAAAUCCGCUUUGGGAGGGGCCUGCGUCCCAUCAGCUAGUUGGUAAGGUAAAGGCUUACCAAGGCGAAGACGGGUAGGGGACCUGAGAGGGUGACCCCCCACAAUGGAACUGAAACACGGUCCAUACACCUACGGGUGGCAGCAGUAGGGAAUAUUGCUUAAUGGGCGAAAGCCUGAAGCAGCAACGCCGCGUGUGCGAUGAAGGCCUUCGGGUUGUAAAGCACUUUUUGUCGGGAAGAGGAAGGACGGUACCGGCAGAAUAAGCCUCGGCUAACUACGUGCCAGCAGCCGCGGUAAAACGUAGGAGGCGAGCGUUAUCCGGAUUUACUGGGUGUAGAGCGCGUGCAGGCGGUUUGUUAAGUUGGGUGUGAAAGCUCCUGGCUCAACUGGGAGAGGUCGCCCAAGACUGGCAGACUAGAGAGCAGUAGGGGAAGGUGGAAUUCCGGGUGUAGUGGUGAAAUGCGUAGAUAUCCGGAGGAACACCAGUGGCGAAGGCGGCCUUCUAGGCUGCAUCUGACGCUCAGACGCGAAAGCUAGGGUAGCAAACGGGAUUAGAGACCCCGGUAGUCCUAGCCGUAAACGAUGUGAACUUGGCGCUGGGUGGGUAAAACCAGUCAGUGCCGAAGCAAACGCGAUAAGUUCACCACCUGGGGACUACGGCCGCAAGGUUAAAACUCAAGGAAUUUGACGGGGCCCGCACAAGCAGCGGAGCGUGU
rnacentral:rRNA from 1 species